AUCAUGCUACCGAUACGUUGACGACGAGUGCUACGCGGGUCUGUUCGGCUAUUGGGGUUUCUGUGCGAUUGACCCCACCAUAACGCCAUCGCAGCACUAUAACAGCGUGAAAUGAGAAUCGUAGCGUUGGUACAGCGCAACACAUAGGACUUUCGCUGCUACGCGUACUGCUCUUCGAGUGGCCAUGCUGUCGUUAACGCCAAUGUUAUACUGCGUAGAGGCAGACACUUCUGAUUCAGGACAGAAAGCGCUUCGAACAGCGUCGCAUCUGCGCCGGUCAGCAAAUAACACUGAACAUUGCUGAGCCUGAGUUGCGUGGAGGGAGUUGUUACUUGUUGGAUGUAUACAGAUCGAUCUUCGUUGCAUAAUCUCACGUCAGGUAGAUGCCGAUGUUGCUGCUUCCGAAUUCACUUUCGAUGAAAAUAGGAAAUUAAUCGAAAGGAUCUGUAUCUAUCGAUCUGUGACGAGAUCCUUGCCAUCUUCAACCCUUUUACCUGGCAUCGUGACGGAAUCACCACAGGCGUACACCGACAUCACACGCAGCAACCUAAAUUGCGCUUUUCCGCAACGAAACGCCCAUUUCUGCAGUUUAGCGGUGAUUGUUGUACAACAGAGACAAAUCGUGAGCGAUCUGCGGACGAUGGGCAACAGACGGCAUUAGGCGCAGCUGUUAAAGGGCAGACGAUGAUAUCCAUCAUCAUUAUUACCAUCGGCAGGAAAAAAUGGUGACUAUAAAUCGGGAGCGUCCGGAAACUUUUCGUCUGAAUAAGAAAUGGUGUAGGAGGAAUGGCUCUGGCUGAUACUCGCUGGUCGCGUCUAUUGAAUCAACCUUAAAACGACGCGUCUGUGAGCGUCGUUUAUUGGCACACUGCCCCAGCCAUUGCGUAGCCACCAUCGUCAACAACUCCCAUUAUUUUAAUGUAUGCCGUUUGUCUCACCGCACCACUAUGACGUGUGAAUGGUAGCUUGUGCUGAUAAGUCGUCGUUGAUAAUGACAUUAGUACACGUUUUGGUAGAACGUAAACGUACCGUGCCUUUGUGCUCGGUGUAGUAUUUGAUUCUACUUGAAACGCUCGUAAUUUGCAAUACGUUACGACUCGAUUGGACGGAACGGCUGGCCUCAGCGUCAAAGGCUAACAUCGGUGCACUACAAAUUGUACGUUCGGUCAGUGUCAUGUUUGUAUUUAUGGUGCAAGCUCCAGUCAGAUUGAAGUUAUCGCAUCAUAUUUAUGCUGCUGCACGGGUCAGGGAUUAUGCAAAAAUAAGUUCAAAUGAGAAGCGACCGGCGACAGGAUCAGCGCAGCUACAUAAUACGGUUACGAUAGCGGCUGAGUCAAUACGCAGAGCAUCUAGCUCAAGAGGUACGAGUCAUCCGUUACAGAUUUAGUAUGUUCUCAGGCCAAUCGAACCAAAGCGGUAACGGGCCAAAAAA